rnacentral:rRNA from 1 species
ACGAACGCUGGCGGCGUGCUUAACACAUGCAAGUCGAACGGUCUUAUAAGCUUGCUUAUAAGAUAGUGGCAGACGGGUGAGUAAUAUAUGGGAACAUGCCCUUAAGUUCGGAAUAACUAUUGGAAACGAUAGCUAAUACCGGAUACGUCCCGCAAGGGAGAAAGAUUUAUCGCUUAGGGAUUGGCCCAUAUUCGAUUAGGUAGUUGGUAAGGUAAUGGCUUACCAAGCCUGUGAUCGAUAGCUGGUUUGAGAAGAUGAUCAGCCACACUGGGACUGAGACACGGCCCAGACUCCUACGGGAGGCAGCAGUGGGGAAUAUUGGACAAUGGGGGCAACCCUGAUCCAGCGACGCCGCGUGAGUGAAGAAGGUCUUCGGACUGUAAAGCUCUUUUGUUGGUGAAAAUAAUGAUGGUACCCAAAGAAUAAGCUCCGGCUAACUUCGU